GGCGUGGCCACCAAGGGGCCGGGCCCUGCACAGCGCCCUGGGGAAGCUGGUUUGAAAGCUCUGGAGCGACCCCAAUGCCGGGUAAAGGACAAGAUUUGCCCAGACGGAAGGGAAUUUGGGGUGAAGUGGCCGUAAAAGUGUGGGACGAAACUGUUUCGGGCAGAGCGGUGGGAACUCACCUGAGGAAAGCAUGGGGGAGGAGUCACUAAUAAGAAUGAGUGGCAGGGACAGGGCGGCCUUGUAACGCCCUCGGUGUUGGAAGGGAAGACCGUACAGCGCGAUGGGGACCAGGGCGGCGGGCCGCAGCCAGGGUGUGGGUGGGCGACGGUCAAGGUGCCUUGAAGCGGAUUCUGUCCUCGGGAGCUGCGGUUCUUCCUCCUCCGCCCUCACCGGCGGGCGACCUUAGGCAGGGCGUGAAAUGCAACGGGAGCCCUGGAGGGAGGGUGAAGCCGCGCGUGCAGGAGGAACCUCCUUUUGGCGAGUUCAGGCCCCGCAGCUGCGGAGGUGGGGGACCCUGUGUGGCAGCCUGCUGAGAGGCUGCGUGCUCCGCGCGGUUGGAGGGGGGAACCUCCAGCCCACCUCCUCUUUUUCAGCCGAGAAACCGCUAGUUACCCCCUUUCUUAUGCGACCAAGAUUGUAAUAACCCUGUCACCUUUCACGGCCCUCCGGGUCUGCGCCCAUCCUCCUCUGAGGAUUCGCUCAUCCACCCCGAGGCCUGUUUUCCUCACUUGUUGUCCCUCUGGCAGACCCUAGGCCCCUUGGAGUCCAGCCACCAUCUAUCUGCCCGCUGUUUCCACCCACCACACUCCCUCCCCAGUUGAAAGUUCAAAACUGUCUUACAGCUACUGCCUGGGGUCUAGGAAUCCAGAACAUUCCACACAUUGCCUAAGUCAACAACCUGUUGCACACACACACCUGCAACUGUUUUGCAAAAGUAUGUGGAUCUGGUUGUCAUUGAUAAAAUGCAAAUUAAUUUAGAUGUAUUAUUCAAUUCAUAGUAUAAUUUUGUUGUAUUUUCAAAUCAACAGAUAUUUACGUAAUUUCGAAGCAGCUCUUCACAAAAUAUUCAUCAGUUACAGAAGGAAGUCACUUCACAGUGGAAAAAUCUGGCAGGUGCCACCUUAAUCAAGUAACCAAAAUGAACAUCAUCAGUAAUAGGACAAAUUGCAAUCGUGUGCCUCCUGAUAGUCUAGCAAGAAGAACACAGCAUCACUUCUAUGAUGCUCCUGCCAAUAAUAUAUAAUUGGAAUCUAAUCCUAAAGCAACAAAUUCAAAUUAAGGAAAAUUCUACAAAAUAAUUGGCCUGUAAUAGAAGUGUUAAAGGUCAUGAAAGUUAAGGAAAGACUGAAGAACUGUUCCAGACUGAAGAUGAAAGAGAUGUGAGAAAUAAGUGCAGUGGUGAUUCUGAACUGGAUCCUGACUUGGCAAAACUUGAAUAGGUCUGUUGGUUGGAUGGUAGAAAUAUAGUAAUGUUGAUUUCCUGAUUUUUGCUAGCUAUAUUACAAUUUUAUUGGAUUCAGUCCUUGUUUACAGAAGACACACAGUAUGUAGGGGUUAUAAGAAGUCAGCUCAGGAACUUUCAAAUCAUUUAGCAAAACAAAAGUUCUUCGUACUUUAAUUCCAAGACUUCUAUAAAUUUGAGAUUAUUUUUAAAAUACUUAAAAAAAACUCCUUUAAAGUCUCUCAACAUGCUGUCCUAUUAAUAAUAGAUUUCUAAAUUUUUUAUUUUUAUCAACGUUUUGUGUGCCCAUAGUUUGAAGUAUUAAAUUGUUUUUAUUUAUUAAG
rnacentral:lncRNA from 1 species